rnacentral:lncRNA from 1 species
GUACCCUCGUAUAUCUGUGCGUAUAUGUCUAUAUCUCCAGUCUGAAAAGGUUCCCUAUUGGGCGGAGCCUCCCCGUAUAGUCCAUUAUAGGGAGUAUCCCUAGGAUUUCUCGUGGGAUUUCUCCAGGACCCUCGAGGUACAGGUGUGGCGUCGAAGCCGGAACCACGAGAUCUCAAUAAGCAUCUAUAUCAAAACAAAUUUCCUUUUCCCUGUUAGGGGGAUUUUGCGGUGGAAUUUCGGAAGAGUUAGACAUUUGACCUAUAAUCCGAUCCGACCAGUAUGAUUCAAUUCAAAACAAAGUCAGGAAAUAAUGACCUCUGUAAGAUCAGCUUAUCACAAAUCAUAUCAAUCAGUGGUUUAAACUUCACUCUAUCAACUGUUCCUCAGAUGGAAUAUGUAGACCAUCUAUUCUCCACAAAUUGCCGCUAGAUCACAUCUUACUUCCUCUGAGCAACGUUUGUUGCAGAGUACGAGCGAUGUCGGAGGGCCGCAUUAGGGCGAUUUGAGAAGGAUCAUUAGCUCACUCGCGACGGUAAUUUAUGGUAGCUUUAGGAUAUGGCAUAUCUAGGAAUUCAUCUUGACCUCUUAGGGCCAUUUUCCUGUUGGAUUUCCAAAAGAUACGAACAUAUGCAGGGAGGGUGGUCGAGUUGAGUGGUAAAACAUGAAAGCUGAUUAUGAAAAACAUCAAACAUCCUGGUUUUAAACAAGGACCGAUUAAAUCAAUGCAAGAAAUAAACUUUCAAGGCAGAAAAAAAUAGCUAAACUUGCCAGAAAUAUUGUUAAUUUAGCGUAGCGAACAAUGCUGAGUUUUACUCUCCCCUCCCAGGCUGCAUCCAUUUAAAUCGCCGAGCGUCAAACAAUGUUAUCUUUUCCGUCGCUUCACAGCUGUAGCGACUCUACACAGCGCGAAGAAUGUUGUUUUGGGAUGCGCGCUAUUUACACAAGCAACACGGAUUGAAUGAGGACUGUUGGAAAUCUCUUCAAAUUGUCACUUGACAGCGCAAACUGACAAGCAAAGUUGCGUUCCUUCGAUGUUGAGAGAAUGGUCGGAAAUUUGGUGAACGUGCGAGGAAAUUUCGCCGUUUUUCUUUUCCUUGUGGUAAUUCUCGUAACAGUAGAUGGAAAGGAAGGAGCCGUUUUGGGGCCAGAUCGGUGGAAAGAGGAAUCCUGUAAGAUGGUCGUUAAAAAGUGUACUGCAAUGUACACAAGAAUUAUAAAUGGGAACACAUCGAACCCAGCUUCAGAUGCACACGUGUGUUUCAUGUUACAAGCUUACAAACUUUGCCUAAUGAGGAACACUACUGACUGUGCAGUGGACAAAGCCUAUGAUACACUAACGACUGUAAUCUCAAGGUUGUUGUAUGGAUUGUGCUCGGAAAACAAUAACAUCGGUGAACACAAAGAGACUUCGGCGACCGGAAAACUUCAACGUACACCCGAACAGGGGGGAGUACUCGACGAAGUUUAAACUGGGAGGUUCUGCCCCGAGGUCCAAACCCUUGCAUUUAUCUUCCACAGAAAAUAGUACUUUAACAUUUGGAUUGAGUAACUCCUUGAAGUACUUUCGAUGCACUAGUAGUUAAGUGGGUCUGUUCGAGCUAUUUUAAAAGGGCCCUUGAGAUACCCAGAUGCAAGUUUCCCUAUAGCCCUUUCAAUUCUUCAACUCCCUACCCUUUUAUAUACGUUGAACUUGUAAAAACGUCAGCGUGCAAGAGUCACUCGCGUGAGCAGGGUCGCGAGAACAACUCGUCUCGCGAGUCUCGUGGUAUCCCCUCGGGCGGAGCCUCCAGUAGCCCUCGGACACGAGCAAAGUGCGCGAAAAAAGGGAUAGUCAACAACGAAAGCUAUGGGAAUAAACUUCGUCUAUAUCUAGAGUGCCGGGAAUUCUGUUGGAUUGACAGAAGAAGUAAUAUUGUAGUACAGUGGCCAAUAGCUCGGUUAAUUACUGAGUGGCGAGGGGCGGCCACAUUGGUUACAUGUAAUCGAAAUAUCCGAAUCCACCUGUAAUGUAGACUACGAGUGGUCCCUCUUUCGCUUAGUCGGUCGUGCGUGACGCGCUUCGCGCGGCCAUUAUUUUCUCGCAGUUUUUCGCGUCACGCACGAAAGACUAAGGGAAAGAGGUACUACGCGUAGUCUACCUCUAACGAGGCACUCAGUUGACCAUAUGAGCACAAGUGCUUAAUUAAAAGGAACAGCAAAAGCUCUUAAAUUAGAUAUUUAUAUGUACUUAAUGCAAUAAUGGUAGAAUUUAUACUGUUUAUUUAUUAGCCUAGUGCUCUAGCGAGAGUGAAGACUUUCUGGACUCAGAAUGGAAAAUAGACUAGGUGAGGCUGGUGUGCCAAAUAUAUUAAAUCGUUAUUCAAUCCUUCGCUGAAAUCAGUCCCUCCAACGGAACCGACUAUUCUUUGUACAGCCUACGUUAAAAUAAACUUUCUCAAAAAAUACA